GACGAACGCUGGCGGCGUGCUUAACACAUGCAAGUCGAACGGUAAGGCCUUCGGGUACACGAGUGGCGAACGGGUGAGUAACACGUGGGUGAUAUGCCCCCUACUCUGGGAUAAGCCUGGGAAACUGGGUCUAAUACCGGAUAUGACCUCCUUCUGCAUGGUUGGGGGUGGAAAGUUUUUUCGGUAGGGGAUGAGCCCGCGGCCUAUCAGCUUGUUGGUGGGGUAAUGGCCUACCAUGGGGACGACGGGUAGCCGGCCUGAGAGGGCGACCGGCCAGACUGGGACUGAGACACGGCCCAGACUCCUACGGGGGGCAGCAGUGGGGAAUAUUGCACAAUGGGCCAUAGCCUGAUGCAGCGACGCCGCGUGGGGGAUGACGGCCUUCGGGUUGUAAACCCCUUUCAGUCGGGACGAAGCGAGAGUGACGGCACCGAUAGAAGAAGCACCGGCCAACUACGUGCCAGCAGCCGCAGUAACAC
rnacentral:rRNA from 1 species